UACGAAGGGUGCAAGCGUUACUCGGAAUUACUGGGCGUAAAGGGCGCGUAGGCGGCCCGCUAAGUCGAACGUGAAAUCCCCGAGCUCAACUCGGGAACUGCGUCCGAUACUGGCGGGCUUGAAUCCGGGAGAGGGAUGCGGAAUUCCAGGUGUAGCGGUGAAAUGCGUAGAUAUCUGGAGGAACACCGGUGGCGAAGGCGGCAUCCUGGACCGGCAUUGACGCUGAGGCGCGAAAGCUAGGGGAGCAAACGGG
rnacentral:rRNA from 1 species